GGGGGGGUGAAGUGAUCAGACCUGAGGGGAAAGCCUCUGAUGGGUGGGGGGGGGGCCGUGGGGCCUCAGGUGGAGGACUCUUGCCUCGGGGGUCUCCAUGUGUCGGCCCCCGGAUACUGACAGAUGUCUCUCUCUCUCCCUCUGUGAAGAAACAGAAACAAUUCACCGCUAAUCAGCAGAUGAUACUGCAGCAGCAGGGGGGGGGAUGUAAGGAUGUAAGGGCGAAGAGCAAGGAGGGGAUGGGGUUGGGGGGGGGCUUACUUUCCCUGUAGAUAUGCGAUGUCUGUGUCUUGACGUGGCAACAUAUUGCGCUGUUUUCAUUCACUCCUCUCUCCUCCUUCCAAGACACGGUGACCGUGAUGAGCACGAAUACAUGCUGACGAUCACAUUCCCUCCUGUGUGUGUGUGUGUUUGUUUGUGUGUCCAUCGGCCGUAAAUCCAUCUGUGCCGAGGCGGUUGUUGUCCGACCGGUGUCUGGAUCUGUUUCUCACCCACGCGACGCGUUCUUCAGCCACGGCAAUGCGGCCGCUGUAUUUUUUUUUCCGUGCACGUGUUUGCGAUGAUGCUACGUGGUGUUUUGUGCGCCCGCCCUCGCCAGUGUCUGCCUGCGGCGACGUGGUAUCCUCCAGGGGUCGUUCAUCCUCAGAUCGGGCCUGUAAAUCACAGUGAUUGAUCAGCCUCCUGCCCCCUCCCCUCCUCAUUCCAAUCUGAUUCCUGCCCCCCUCCCCUCCUCCAACACUCCCCCGUCCGAGGGCCCGCCGGUGAUCAAUCACUCCUUCAGUCGGACAGGUAGGUGUGACAUCACCGUCAUCCAACACUCCGCCUUAAAGAAGCACACUGAGGAUCUGCGAUCAGCUAAGUGAGGACAACAGGAAAGGAAAAUGAAAGAGAAAGAAUGCACCCCCCCCCCCCCCCCCCCCCCAAAGUAAUCCUAUUGACUUGCAUUCACUUGGUGACAAUAAAGAAGGUGGAGUGGAGACGACUCCAUGGCUCAUGAAAAGAAAUGAGCCAAUUUGCAUACUUGAUAUUCUCACUAAAGCUCUACCUCGGCACAGCACGGGCUCAAGGAAAGGCCAACGUGACCCUGAACACUGCGUGCACGGCUAGGGGUCCCCCGAAGAGAGGAGUGGGGAUUACCGGUUCAUUCCCACCGCGCUCGACUGUGUUGUUAACUGCUUCAUGUGCAGAGUACACUCCUCCUUAGGUCGGGGGUCGGGGGUCAUCCCACUUGAGACAAACCGUCCGAAAAGAGGAUUUACAGCUGAAGGAGGAACGUUUCCCAGAAUAUCUGCAGCACACUUGAGCGACUCCUCCCACCACAGCGGGAACAUUGACUUGUGCUGCUCCCUGCUGGACAGGCUGCAAAACCCAAAUACAUGUUCGUUCCUGAAAUGUAGGACAAUAUGUCCCUUUUAAAUAUGAUAAUAUUUUUUGGUGCAGCACAUUUUUAUGACUUCUUUUAAAAAGAAAACACACACGCCUGACUACCGACAUGCAACUCACCUAGAAGUGAUACAUUGGACCUGCUUUGUAAAGAUAAAGUCAGGAAAUGUCCACAUGAGCUAAUAGCUGCAGCUAUACAAAACACCUCUCAGGGUCAACUCCAACAGAAAAUAAACUUGUGUGUGAUACCUCAUAAUAGCAUUGACUGUGCGUAAAUAAUGCAAAAUGCAUUAAAGCUUUAAUGUACACAUUGUUGUUUUGGAUUCAAAAACACAAAUGGAGUAGAAACAGAAUGUGAUAUUUCUAGAAAUGCAUCUUGAUGCAGAGCGGUUGUCUGUAUCUCUACAAAUGAUCCAGCAGGUGGCAGCAAAGCUACAAAGAUAAAGUGUCAGGGACCAAAGGGAAACUUCACAGUCCCCCAACAAUGGACAUAGUCGGUGAGGCAAAAUUAUCUGCAGAGGUUUAAGGAUUGAAAUGCUCGCAGGCGCCUAUAGGUGCUAUUGUGAAAAAUUCUCACAGAUUACCAGGAAAAGAAUUUCCACGUGUUGCACAACAUUCUUGUUGCUGGACAUAUUUGUCCAAUCUCGAACCAUAGCUUGCGGCUUCAGGCCGGCGCUGCGAGCUCUCACUUUCAGAGUCUCUGAGAGGUGGAGCUGUGAAACAAACAGUUAUGAAGUGGCCCUUCCCGCCCUUCACAUUGUUCUUAUCAAUCCGCAUGCAGCCCGCGGCACCGACGUACAGGGCAUACAACCCUGUUGAAGGUUGACCACUGCUGACAGUUUUAUCGGCUUUGUUGACUCCAUUACACCGACCCGUGACUGAUGUGCCACAUGAUGCGCUCUCCAGAGGUCAGAGGGCGCAGGAAACAUUAACGAGAACAGCAGGUCAUAAAGAUAAGGGAUACCGAUGAAAGGUGAUGGUUUCAGUUCAUUUGGCCGUUUUUUUUAAUCCAAAUGGAGGGAAAUGUACACAACUACGUGAAUCAGGAAUCAGGAAACAUUUAUUGCCAAAAUAUGUCAGACAUACAAGGAAUUUGUCUUGGUGGUUGGUGCGUGACAGUAGACUCGUCACUUUGCCGUCACUCGUCACUUUGUUACUUGUUCGUUUGUUACUUGUUUGUUACUUGUUCGCUUAAUAUUUUUUAAAUUUGUUAAUAUUUUAAAUUUUUAACUCUAACUUUAUUUUCUUGUUUUAUACUAACCCAUAACCUUAUUCUACUUACUCAUUGCAUUAGCAUUUCAUUUUACUUUAAUUUAUUACUUGUGCACUGCUGUCUUGUUGUCUAUUGUUACACUGUCUACUGUCACGCACCAACUGCCAAGACAAAUUCCUUGUAUGUCUGACAAAUUUUGGCAAUAAAUGUUUCCCGAUUCCUGGAAACCUGUGUUUGCCACAUAUCUUGCUUUCUAAGAUAAAGCGAGGAAAACAACAUGAGUAAUCUUCAUAGGGAACCAGUGGGAUGAUGGUUGGUCAAAAAAAAAUAUUCAAAAAAAUAAUGAAGAAAUAUUCACGAAAAUAUUCACGAAAAUAUUCACAAAAAAUAUUCACGAAAAGAUUCACAAAAAAUAUUCAUGAAGAUAUUCAAGAAAUAUUCAAAAAAUAAUGAAAAAAUAAUCACGAAAAUAUUCAAGAAAUAUUCAAAGGAGUGAUUGAUUACAAAGGUUAUUAUAUGUGAUAAGUGGGAAAGGAAACAUGUGUUUGCCACAUAACUUGCUUUCUACAAUUUUGCCAGGAAAACCAAAGGAGUGAUCUUUAUAGGGAACCAGUGGGAUGAUGGUUGGUCAAAAAAAUAUUCAAAAAAAUAUUCAGGAAAAUAUUCAAAAAAAUAAUGAAAAAAUAGUCACGAAAAUAUUCACAAAAAUAUUCAUGAAAAUAUUCAAGAAAUAUUCAAAGGAAUGAUUGAUUACAAAGAUUAUUAUAUGUAAUUAUAAGGGGGGAAGGAAACCUGUGCUUGCCACAUAUCUUGCUUUCUACCAUUUUGCUAGGAAAACAAAAGGAGUGAUCUUUAUAAGGAACCAGUGGGAUGAUGGUUGGUCAAAAAAAAUAUUCAAAAAAAUAUUCAAAAAAAUAUUCAAGAAAAUAUUCAUGAAAAUAUUCAUGAAAAUAUUCAAGAAAUAUUCAAAGGAAUGAUUGAUUACAAAGGUAUUAUAUGUGAUAAGUGGGAAAAGAAACAUGUGUGUGCCACAUAUCUUGCAUUCUACCAUUUUGCUAGCAAAACAAAAGGAGUGAUCUUUAUAAGGAACCAGUGGGAUGAUGGUUGGUCAAAAAAAAAUAUUCAAAAAAUAAUUAAAAAAUAUUCACGAAAAUAUUCACGAAAAUAUUCAUGAAAAUAUUCAUGAAAAUAUUCAUGAAAAUAUUCAAGAAAUAUUCAAAGGAAUGAUUGAUUACAAAGGAAAACAAAAGGAGUGAUCUUCAUAGGGAACCAGUGGGAUGAUGGUUGGUCGAAAAACAAUAUUCAAAAAAUAUUCAAAAAAAUUAUGAAACAAUGUUCACGAAAAUAUUCAUGAAAAUAUUCAUGAAAAUAUUCAUGAAAAUAUUCAUGAAAAUAUUCAUGAAAAUAUUCAAGAAAUAUUCAAGAAAUAUUCAAAGGAGUGAUUCAUUACAAAUAUUAUUAUAUGUGAUAAGGGAGGAAGGAAACCUGUGUUUGCCACAUAUCUUGCUUUCUACAAUUUUGCCAGGAAAACAAAGGAGUGAUCUUCAAAGGGAACCAGUGGGAUGAUGGUUGGUCAAAAAAAAUAUUCAAAAAAAUAUUCACGAAAAUAUUCAAAAAAAUAUUCAAGAAAAUAUUCAAGACAAUAUUCAUGAAAAUAUUCAAGAAAUAUUCAAAGGAAUGAUUGAUUACAAAGGUAUUAUAUGUGAUAAGUGGGAAAGGAAACAUGUGUUUGCCACAUAUCUUUCUUUCUACCAUUUUUCCAGGAAAACAAAAGGAGUGAUCUUUAUAGGGAACCAGUGGGAUGAUGGUUGGUCGAAAAACAAUAUUCAAAAAAUAUUCAAGAAAACAUUCAAAAAAAUAUUCAAGAAAAUAUUCACGGAAAUAUUCACAAAAAUAUUCAUGAAAAUAUUCAAGAAAUAUUCAAAGGAAUGAUUGAUUACAAAGAUUAUUAUAUGUAAUUAUAAGGGGGGGAAGGAAACCUGUGCUUGCCACAUAUCUUGCUUUCUACCAUUUUGCUAGCAAAACAAAAGGAGUGAUCUUUAUAAGGAACCAGUGGGAUGAUGGUUGGUCAAAAAAAAAUAUUCAAAAAAAUAUUCAAGAAAAUAUUCAUGAAAAUAUUCAUGAAAAUAUUCACGAAAAUAUUCACGAAAAUAUUCACGAAAAUAUUCAUGAAAAUAUUCAAGAAAUAUUCAAGAAAUUUUCAAAGGAAUGAUUGAUUACAAAGGUUAUUAUAUGUGAUAAGUGGGGAAGGAAACAUGUGUUUGCCACAUAUCUUUCUUUCUACCAUUUUGCCAGGAAAACAAAAGGAGUGAUCUUCACAGGGAACCAGUGGGAUGAUGGUUGGUCGAAAAACAAUAUUCAAAAAAUAUUAAAAAAAUUAUGGAAAAAUAUUCACGCAAAUAUUCACGCAAAUAUUCACGAAAAUAUUCAUGAAAAUAUUCAAGAAAUAUUCAAAGGAGUGAUUCAUUACAAAGAUUAUUAUAUGUGAUAAGGGGGGAAGGAAACCUGUGUUUGCCACAUAUCUUGCUCUCUACCAUUUUGCCAGGAAAACAAAAGGAGUGAUCUUCAUAGGGAAGUAUUGGGAUGAUGGUUGGUCAAAAACAAUAUUCAAAAAAUAUUCAAAAAAAUAAUGAAAAAAUAUUCACGAAAAUAUUCAUGAAAAUAUUCAAGAAAUAUUCAAAGGAAUGAUUGAUUACAAAGGAAAACAAAAGGAGUGAUCUUCAUAGGGAACCAGUGGGAUGAUGGUUGGUCGAAAAACAAUAUUCAAAAAAUAUUCAAAAAAAUAUGGAAAAAUAUUCACGCAAAUAUUCAC
ensembl:lncRNA